GACGAGGUGGCCGAGCGGUUAAGGCGCCAGCUUAAGGUGCAUGCAUGCUCGUUGAGCGUCCAUGAUUUAAGCGCUGGUCCGAAAGGGCGCGGGUUCGAAUCCCGUCCUCGUCA
rnacentral:tRNA from 1 species